UACGGGGGGAGCAAGCGUUGUUCGGAUUUAUUGGGCGUAAAGAGCUCGUAGGCGGCUCGUCGCGUCGACCGUGAAAACCCGCGGCUUAACUGCGGGCUUGCGGUUGAUACGGGCGGGCUAGAGUUCGGUAGGGGAGACUGGAAUUCCUGGUGUAGCGGUGAAAUGCGCAGAUAUCAGGAGGAACACCGGUGGCGAAGGCGGCUACCUGGACCGGUACUGACGCUGAGGCGCGAAAGCCAGGGGAGCAAACAGG
rnacentral:rRNA from 1 species